rnacentral:lncRNA from 1 species
CCAGGGGAAAAGCCGGAAGUCAGGUGAGUAGCAGGUGGCAGACCUGGGCUACCUGAGACACGGGUUUUUGUGGGAGACCAAGGACGUGCUUACGGGACCAACCAAAGUGGUCCCAAAGAGGUGGGAAAAGGCAGCUUUGAAAUCCUUCUCCAGAAUUUCACUAUCAAAAAUUCCAGAAAGAAAGUGCAAAGUGUCAGUGCACACACACACACAUUUAGGGACUUCCCUUGGCUCUUUCCAUCUUGGGAAACAGCUAAACCUACAUGCAGGUCCUUUUAAGGCUUGUUCUCUUUUAUGUUGAAUUUGAUAUGGAGGGGGGUGGUUGUGACAUUGUCCAGGCUUAGACUCUGUCGACCUUCCCCUGCCCUGAGAGAGGCUGGUUUCCAACUUCCUGCAGGGGCUGCAGAUCCAGUGGCCCACGACAGAGGCCUGCGGUGGAGCUGCUGUCCAGCUGCUGGCCCGCCGGAAGAAAGCCUCUACGCUGACGUGAGAGACAAGCCUCCUGAGGAGGAUGUGGAGCUGCACAGCCAGGUGAGCUUCCCGCUGCCCAAGAGCCGGCGGCUCGCCUCCGCCCUCCCGCUGCCCGGCUCGCGGCGCUGCCCGCAGCUGCCCGCUCCUUCUGGAGAGCCCUGCGCCUCGCUGCUGGGACCCCGCUGUCUCCUGGCUGUCUCGCCCUAGAUCCUCUCCUCUCUUUGACAGAAGGUCCAGGUCUCAAGGGAAUACGUGAGCAAGCCGUCCCCUAGGCCCCCUCACUCAUUCAGCAGGAUGUAGGGGGAGCCCGCUCUUUACCAGGCUGCGGAAAAGGCAGGCAGCAGGGCUCUCUCACGUCCAGGGGGCGAGGGGCGAUAUGCAAGCAAAUUCAGCGUCCAGGAGGGUAAAGAGCCAUGAGGGAAAGGGAAGCCAGGUGGUGGGGCAGCGAGGCUCCAAC